rnacentral:rRNA from 1 species
AGUGAACGCUGGCGGUAGGCCUAACACAUGCCAGUCGAACGGCAGCACAGUAAGAGCUUGCUCUUACGGGUGGCGAGUGGCGGACGGGUGAGGAAUACAUCGGAAUCUACUUUUUCGUGGGGGAUAACGUAGGGAAACUUACGCUAAUACCGCAUACGACCUACGGGUGAAAGCAGGGGAUCUUCGGACCUUGCGCGAUUGAAUGAGCCGAUGUCGGAUUAGCUAGUUGGCGGGGUAAAGGCCCACCAAGGCGACGAUCCGUAGCUGGUCUGAGAGGAUGAUCAGCCCCACUGGAACUGAGACACGGUCCAGACUCCUACGGGAGGCAGCAGUGGGGAAUAUUGGACGAUGGGGGCAAGCCUGAUCCAGCCAUACCGCGUGGGUGAAGAAGGCCUUCGGGUUGUAAAGCCCUUUUGUUGGGAAAGAAAAGCAGCAGGUUAAUACCCCGCUGUUCUGACGGUACCCAAAGAAUAAGCACCGGCUAACUUCGUG